UACGGGGGGGGCAAGCGUUGUUCGGAAUUACUGGGCGUAAAGGGCUCGUAGGCGGCCUACUAAGUCAGACGUGAAAUCCCUCGGCUUAACCGGGGAACUGCGUCUGAUACUGGAUGGCUUGAGUUUGGGAGAGGGAUGCGGAAUUCCAGGUGUAGCGGUGAAAUGCGUAGAUAUCUGGAGGAACACCGGGGGCGAAGGCGGCAUCCUGGACCAACACUGACGCUGAGUGAGCGAAAGCCAGGGGAGCAAACGGG
rnacentral:rRNA from 1 species